AAUUAACGCUGGCAGAGUGCAUAACACAUGCAAGUCGAGCGGAACUUGUAGCAAUACAAGUUUAGCGGCAGACGAGUGAGUAACACGUGAGCAAUCUACCCUUGAAUGGUGAACAACCAGCCGAAAGGCUGGCUAAUACACCGUACUCUCCCUUGGAGGCAUCUCCGAGGGAGGAGAGCAGCAAUGCGUUCUUGGAGGAGCUCGCGGCCCAUCAGCUAGUUGGCGGUGUAACGGACCACCAAGGCUACGACGGGUACCCGGCCUGAAAGGGCGGACGGGCACGAUGGCACUGAGACACGGGCCAUACUCCUACGGGAGGCAGCAGUGGGGAAUUUUUGGACAAUGGGCGAAGCCUGAUCCAGCAACUCUGCGUGAGGGACGAAGGUCUUCGGAUUGUAAACCUCUUUUACAUGGGAAGAAUACCAGCAAUGGUUCGACGGUACCAUGUGAAUAAGCCACGGCUAACUAUGUGCCAGCAGCCGCGGUAAGACAUAGGUGGCAAGCGUUAUUCGGAAUUACUAGGCGUAAAGCGAGUGUAGGCGGACUCUUAAGUUCGACGUUAAAUCUCCCGGCUUAACUGGGAGCGGUCGUCGAAUACUGAGAGCCUCGAGUGGGGUAGGGGCAGCGGAAUUCCCGGUGUAGCGGUGAGAUGCGUGGAUAUCGGGAGGAACACCUAUGGCGAAAGCAGCUGCCUGGGGCCUUUACUGACGCUAAGACUCGAAAGCUGGGGGAGCAAACAGGAUUAGAUACCCUGGUAGUCCCUGAGACUGCCAAGG
rnacentral:rRNA from 1 species